rnacentral:rRNA from 2 species
UAACACGUGGGUGAUCUGCCCUGCACUUCGGGAUAAGCUCGGGAAACUGGGUCUAAUACCGGAUAGGACUGCGCGGUGCAUGCCGUGUGGUGGAAAGAUUUAUCGGUGCAGGAUGGGCCCGCGGCCUAUCAGCUUGUUGGUGGGGUAAUGGCCUACCAAGGCGACGACGGGUAGCCGGCCUGAGAGGGCGACCGGCCACACUGGGACUGAGACACGGCCCAGACUCCUACGGGAGGCAGCAGUGGGGAAUAUUGCACAAUGGGCGCAAGCCUGAUGCAGCGACGCCGCGUGAGGGAUGACGGCCUUCGGGUUGUAAACCUCUUUCAGCAGGGACGAAGCGUGAGUGACGGUACCUGCAGAAGAAGCACCGGCCAACUACGUGCCAGCAGCCGCGGUAAUACGUAGGGUGCAAGCGUUGUCCGGAAUUACUGGGCGUAAAGAGCUCGUAGGCGGUUUGUCGCGUCGUCUGU